rnacentral:rRNA from 1 species
AUUGAACGCUGGCGGCAGGCCUAACCCAUGCAAGUCGCACGAGUGGCGGACGGGUGAGUAAUGUCUGGGAAACUGCCUGAUGGAGGGGGCUAACUACUGGAAACGGUAGCUAAUACCGCAUACCAUCAGAUGUGCCCAGAUGGGAUUAGCUAGUGGGUGGGGUAACGGCUCACCUAGGCGACUAUCCCUAGCUGGUCUGAGAGGAUGACCAGCCACACUGGAACUGAGACACGGUCCAGACGCCUACGGGAGGCAGCAGUAGGGAAUAUUGCACAAUGGGCAAAAACCUGAUACAGCCAUGCCGCGUGUAUGAAGAAGGCCUUCGGGUUGUAAAGUACUUUCAGCGGAGAGGCGUUACCCGCAGAAGAAGCACCGGCUAACUCAGUGCCAGCAGCCGCGGUAAUUC